rnacentral:lncRNA from 1 species
UCAACUUGCUGAAUGCAGCUCCUGCCAAGUGUGGAAUGCAGCUCACGAUUCAUAGUUUCCAACUCCAACACUCGACGCUGCAGCGUAUUAAUCACUUUACCAACUGUUCCUGUCUCUUUGUCGACCGCUAUUCCCACAUCGUACCACGCAAAAGAUCCGCAUCCUCUGGAAUCUUGUACAAUGCAGCAUUAGUCAGCCAACAUAGCAACUACUGUAUGAUCUGUAUGAUUUAGUUAGAUUAUAAGCAUACGAAAUGGAGAACUACUAAUUACACAUGAGAUAAUGGCUGGAAAGAAUGAACAUAAGUGAUGAUAAGUCGAAUGAAUUACAUGACUUUCUCAUAUUGAUAUCUUUUCUUCCAUAGGACUGUUAAUGAUGAUAAGGACGAUGAACUGGAAUUCUAUCGUGAAUGAAUCAUGUGAGAAAUAAGGAUGAUGUGGAAGUGGGUUGUGAAAUUUGUUAAGAGGAUAGGGUAAUGUUAAUAAAUUGUGUUUGUGUAUCAGUUUUAGGUAUGAGAAAAAUAAAAGAGUGAUGAGUUUGGCAAUUAAAAAAAGUUUGAAAGCGAAUGUGAGAUUGAAAUUUAAUAUUCGAUUAAUUGUGAACCGUUGAGAUCGAAAGCUCAAAAUGAACGUUGAUAAUAUGUGUACGUUGCCAAAACAAAGUAAGCACACCGAAAAUUUCAGUAUACCAGGUAUACUGAAGAAUUCACCCUUAUUAAGUGACACCUCACACUCCACAUCACAUAGCAAUUGCUAAAAAAAUCAGGGAUGUAGAUGCUCUUAUGGUAUAAUUUCUGAAUAAAUUCCACAAUAAUUCUAUUAAUUACGGUAAAAUUGAAAUGAUUUUGAUUAUCCUUCAAAUCACCUUCAUGCUUAGGCAUUCUCCACAAUGACUUGUUUUAACUCAAAGUAAGGUGAAUUUGAGUUCGUUAUGUAAGAUAUAACUGUCGAUAUGUAAGGCUUACGUAACGUAACAUAAGUUAUAUCUUAUGUAACAAGCAAAAUUAAGCAUGUUAUGUAAGAGUAAAGACCGUUACUUAAAGCUUACGUAAUGAUAGUUAUUCCUUACGUAACAUAUAAAACUAAGUCAGUUACGUAAAGGGUAAAGAUCGUUAUAUAAGGCUUAUGUAAGAAUUGUUUUUCAUUACAUAACAUGUAAAAUUAAGUCUUUUAAGAAAGAGUAAAUGUUGUUACAUAGGGUUACACAACGCCAGUUAUUCCUUCCGUAACAUUUAUACGUAAUCAUGUUACGUAAGAGUAAAGGCUGUUACGUAACUAUAGUUACUCCUUACGUAAGGCUUACGUAACAUAAGCUAUUCCUUACGCCUGUUACGUAGGAGUAAAGGCCACUACGUAAGACUUACGUAACAUACAAAAUUAAGCCUAUUACGCAAGAGUAAAUGCCGUUACGUAAGGCUUACGUAACCACAAUUAUAUCAUACAUAACGAACUCAAAGUUACCCUGCUUUACGUUAAAGCAAGUCAUAGUAAAAAAUGUCCGUUCGAAUAAUUUUUGUAUAUUCUUUUAAAAAAUGAUUCUCAGAUAUCUUUUAAACCGGCUAUAUAUAAUAAACACAUAUGAUUGAUAGAGGGUGGCUUAUAUAACAAACAAAUCAAAGGUCAAGGAGCUAGCUAACUGGUAACUAAACCAUGUGACCUAUAUUUCAAUAACAGAGACGAAAGGUUAACAUCUCUGCAUCUCAUCUGAUUAGUGGAGAAACGGAGAAAAACACAAUUAAAAAUUUGAUGGGUACCUUAGCGCUGCCAGAUCCCACCGUCACCGUCGCCAAUUUAAUAAAUAGAGAAGAUAGAAUAACCGCCACCGGAGGAGGAGAGGCGGAGCAAACAAAACAAACUACUAAAAUCGAUAGCAUAAAACAAACCAGCAAACAAAAGUGACUCACUCGCCCAUUCCCUGCUGCAAAUUGCAGGCACCACUAUUCCCACAGACUACAAAGUACUGAGCUCCACCCUCCCUUCCUCUCCCAGAUCUCCGCCACCCUCAUGAAAUUCCCAUUUCUCAACCACUCCCUUCCUUCGGUCGUCCAUCGCACUCUGCUCAUCACUCUCUUCUUCUAGCAUUCUCCCAGUUGGUGGGUAGGUGGGGUGGGUGGGUUGGUGGGUUAUGGAGAUUUCCCUAGUGGGUUAUGGAAGAAAAACAGAGAACCCAUCUCUUCUGUAGCGAUUUUCUUCCUUGAUGGAUCUGAAGAGGAAGAGGGGGAAUUGAAAUCUUUGGGCUUUGGCUUUUGGCGGCAAUGAAAAGGUCGGUGCGUCCUGUCUUUACUAUUCUGCUCUUCGUUCUCUUUGCUCUUACUCUCAGCUGCCGAAUUUUGAUCCGCCGGACUUUGUUCGCCUCACUCGACCUGCACAACGAUGUAAUUUUCAAUUCCGAAAAUGCCGCCGCUACUACCAUCAACUCCACGCUGUUGAGAUACGCCGCCGUGGAUUUGAGCGAGUCCAAGACUAAGCAAGAGAUUGAGCAGUUGUUGGAAGGAAAUUUCGC